rnacentral:lncRNA from 1 species
AUUGGAUUCUUGUGGAGGAGAAGAUUCUGGCUGGUAGAGGAGUUGCUCUCCGUCUUGAGAAGCUGAAGACAGAAGGUGGGAAAAAGACUUUCUCCUGAGGGUUACCCACUUUUUCCUGCUGGUGACUGGAAAUCCUUCUCCCCAACAUUUCCCAAUUGAAGGGACUUUCUGAAGAGAAACCUAAGCAGACUUUAUCUCAGCUCCUGUUGUCCAGGGGGCUCCCUGUAUUGGUUCCCUGUGAAGAGCUUCUUCUGGUGAAGAUGGGCACAUUCUGUGGGGCUGAGUUUUAGAGAAUUGUCUGGGGGCACUGAAAAGGGCUAAAACUACAAGAAUCUUAAAGUUGUAUGCAUAGAUAUUUUCAUUGAGAAGGAACAGAGACUCCACAAAUCCCAGAGUUACCUGGGAGGAGAGAACAAGGGCUCAGCCUUCCCUUCCAUUAUUGAAGGGUACAAAAAUCAUUUUGUGCAUUACAAAUGAAAAGAAGAUAUGAUUUUAAAUGCCAUACUUUGGCUGGAUGUGCUGGGCAAACCAGGGCCUCGGUGAUCGGUCGAACCAAAUAAAACAUAUGAUUUUGGAGCUAUUUGAAGGCAGGCAAGCUGAAAACAUUGUGCACCAAAGGGCGGCCAACAGCAGCCUGCAUGCAUCUAAAUCACUUCCCCCUCCUUCCCCUGGAUAACAAAAAGAAACAAAACAAAAGAAACCGACUGGCAGAUGAACAAAGAAGUCACUAAGCAGGUAAGUUAAAUAAUUAUUUUUCGCUUUAUUAAAUACAAUGAUAUAUUACAAUUAUACAUUUUUGUUACUUAAACUAUAAAUAUCGAGAAAUUAUGUUUGUUUUUUUUUCUUGAAGUGACACACCACCCGAGUUAUGCUUGGUUUUUUGGCACACCAAGUUGCCCUUCACUGGCUUAGGCAAUUGGAGUGAAGUGACUUGCCCAAUAUCACACGGAUAGGAGGUGUCUGAGGAAAGAUUUGAACCCAGGACCCCCCCCCCCCAAGUCUUUAGCUUUGGCACUCUCUCCACUGAGCCAUCUAGCUGUCCCCAAUAUUGUUUUAAAAACAUAAAAUAAAAUAGCUGGCAUUUACUAAACA